rnacentral:rRNA from 1 species
GUAGGGAAUAUUGCACAAUGGAGGAAACUCUGAUGCAGCGACGCCGCGUGAGUGAUGAAGGCCUUCGGGUCGUAAAGCUCUGUCGCAGGGGAAUAACACAAUGAAGGUACCCUGUAAGAAAGGAUCGGCUAACUUCGUGCCAGCAGCCGCGGUAAGACGAGGGAUCCUAGCGUUGUUCGGAAUCAUUGGGCGUAAAGCGGAUGUAGGUGGCUAUGUAAGUCAGAUGUGAAAGCCUGGGGCUCAACCCCAGAAGUGCAUUUGAUACUGCGUAGCUUGAGUGUCGGAGAGGUUACUAGAAUUGUUGGUGUAGUGGUGAAAUACGUAGAUAUCAACAGGAAUACCGGAGGCGAAGGCGGGUAACUGGCCGAACACUGACACUGAGAUCCGAAAGCGUGGGGAGCAAACAGGAUUAGAUACCCUUGUAGUCC